rnacentral:rRNA from 1 species
CACGUAGGGGGCAAGCGUUGUCCGGAUUUAUUGGGCGUAAAGAGCUCGUAGGCGGCUCGGUAAGUCAGGUGUGAAAACUCUAGGCUCAACCUAGAGACGCCACCUGAUACUGCUGUGGCUAGAGUCCGGUAGGGGAGCAUGGAAUUCCUGGUGUAGCGGUGAAAUGCGCAGAUAUCAGGAGGAACACCAGUGGCGAAGGCGGUGCUCUGGGCCGGAACUGACGCUGAGGAGCGAAAGCGUGGGGAGCAAACAGG